AGACCCGAAACCCGGUGAUCUAGCCAUGGGCAGGUUGAAGGUUGGGUAACACUAACUGGAGGACCGAACCGACUAAUGUUGAAAAAUUAGCGGAUGACCUGUGGCUGGGGGUGAAAGGCCAAUCAAACCGGGAGAUAGCUGGUUCUCCCCGAAAGCUAUUUAGGUAGCGCCUCGUGAAUUCAUCUCCGGGGGUAGAGCACUGUUUCGGCUAGGGGGCCAUCCCGGCUUACCAACCCGAUGCAAACUGCGAAUACCGGAGAAUGUUAUCACGGGAGACACACGGCGGGUGCUAACGUCCGUCGUGAAGAGGGAAACAACCCAGACCGCCAGCUAAGGUCCCAAAGUCAU
rnacentral:rRNA from 1 species